UACAGGGGGUGCAAGCGUUGUUCGGAAUUACUGGGCGUAAAGGGCUCGUAGGCGGCCAACUAAGUCACACGUGAAAUCCCCAGGCUUAACCUGGGAACUGCGUGUGAUACUGGAUGGCUUGAAUUCGGGAGAGGGAUGCAGAAUUCCAGGUGUAGCGGUGAAAUGCGUAGAUAUCUGGAGGAAUACCGGUGGCGAAGGCGGCAUCCUGGACCGACACUGACGCUGAGGAGCGAAAGCCAGGGGAGCAAACGGG
rnacentral:rRNA from 1 species